GAAAAUCUAAUGUAUCAAAAACAAAAUCUAUAGAGAUCAGAGGGCGAACACAAACGAAAAAAAAAAAAAAAAAACUAAAAUCUGUACAGCUAGUCAGCUACUGAUAUUAGCAAUUUAGCAUAAAGAAAUAUACAGGAGCACAACGUCAUGAUUAUAUCCCGAAGCUCUCAGAUCUCUGUUAGUUUCAGUUAGCAGAGCAGAGAGAGUUGAGAACUGCCACUGCCCUCAUUUCAGGCACACUCCCACAGCUAUCCCAUCGACAUUUGAGAUAUUAUGGCAGAAGAUAUGAUAAUAGCACUUUACUGGGGAGGGGAUAUAAUUCAUGGUGACCAGCGGGGUGUACGUUAUUCAACGAAUGUGGUAGAUUGGCUUAUAGUCGACCAAGAUAUUGGUUACAAUGGUUUGCUUUCCAAGGUUCAAAAGGUGAUGGCAACCGACCCUAGUCAAACAAGAUUGAAGUUGAAGUGUAGAUACCCCAUUGUUGCUGACAGCUCUGAGUAUGUGGUGCUCGAAUUCAAUAGCCAGAGAAGGUGGGAAAGAAUACUUCAAACAUUCAGUGCACUUCAAGGAAGAACGGGGUUGAUUGAGAUUUUUGUGGAAAUCGAGUAUACCACCUCCUGCAACUAGCUAGUAAUCGGCAUUUGGCAGAAGGGACAAUGAGUAGGGUGUAGCUGAGACCUCCUGUAAAGAGCACUCCAGUUCCAACUGUGGGAUGAGAAGGUAACAUUCAUGGCACUUCCUCACCUGCUGUAUGGUGUCUGGCAUUCUAGUCUACUGCACCAAAGUCUACCACUAACUCAGAUCUCCACCAUGAAUAGAGUGGGAUGUUUUUGCUGACCAUUCUGCGUCGUGGUUAUUGUGAUUUCUGUGGUUUGUUUUGAGUUUGGUACUUUCUUGUUUCUAGUCAUGUAAUGUUGUUUGUUUGAUUCAGCCUAAUAUGUUGUGCUGGAGACUAAUCCUCGUUUGCACUGGGCUGGUCCAAUUAAGGUGUAAAGUGCUGAUUAGAUUGGUUUUUUCA